AGCGACCUCCAGAGGGUGAGAAUCCCGUGCGGCACGGCCCCCGGCUCCUUAUAAGGCGCUCUCGACGAGUCGAGUUGUUUGGGAAUGCAGCUCAAAGUGGGUGGUAAAUUCCAUCUAAAGCUAAAUACAGGCGAGAGACCGAUAGCGAACAAGUACAGUGAUGGAAAGAUGAAAAGCACUUUGAAAAGAGAGUGAAACAGCACGUGAAAUUGUUGAAAGGGAAGGGCAUGCCGUCAGAUUGUCAGUGUGGGUAAGAAGCGGGGUACAAAGACUGUGGAACGUGGCCCUCGGGUGUUAUAGCCGCAGUUCAUGCCCCGUCUCUUUCCGAGGCCUGCUUUGAGGACACCGACGUAAUGACGGUACGCCGCCCGUCUUG
rnacentral:rRNA from 1 species